UAAGGAAUAUUGGUCAAUGGACGCAAGUCUGAACCAGCCAUGCCGCGUGAAGGAUGAAGGUCCUCUGGAUUGUAAACUUCUUUUAUCUGGGACGAAAACGGGAUUUUUAUCUCAAUUGACGGUACCAGAGGAAUAAGCACCGGCUAACUCCGUGCCAGCAGCCGCAGUAAUACGGAGGGUGCGAGCGUUAUCCGGAUUUACUGGGUUUAAAGGGUGCGUAGGUGGGCUUAUAAGUCAGUGGUGAAAUCUCCGAGCUUAACUUGGAAACUGCCGUUGAUACUAUAGGUCUUGAAUUAUCUGGAGGUAAGCGGAAUAUGUCAUGUAGCGGUGAAAUGCUUAGAUAUGACAUAGAACACCAAUUGCGAAGGCAGCUUACUACAUAUAAAUUGACGCUGAGGCACGAAAGCGUGGGGAUCAAACA
rnacentral:rRNA from 1 species